AUUGAACGCUGGCGGCAGGCCUAACACAUGCAAGUCGAGCGGCAGCGGGAAAGUAGCUUGCUACUUUUGCCGGCGAGCGGCGGACGGGUGAGUAAUGCCUGGGGAUCUGCCCAGUCGAGGGGGAUAACUACUGGAAACGGUAGCUAAUACCGCAUACGCCCUACGGGGGAAAGCAGGGGACCUUCGGGCCUUGCGCGAUUGGAUGAACCCAGGUGGGAUUAGCUAGUUGGUGAGGUAAUGGCUCACCAAGGCGACGAUCGCUAGCUGGUCUGGGAGGAUGACCAGCCACACAGGAAGUGAGACACGGUCCAGACUCCUACGGGAGGCAGCGGUGGGGAAUAUUGCACAAUGGGGGAAACCCUGAUGCAGCCAUGCCGCGUGUGUGAAGAAGGCCUUCGGGUUGUAAAGCACUUUCAGCGAGGAGGAAAGGUUGGUAGCUAAUAACUGCCAGCUGUGACGUUACUCGCAGAAGAAGCACCGGCUAACUCCGUGCCAGCAGCCGCGGUAA
rnacentral:rRNA from 1 species